GAGGAUCUUAUGUUGAAAUUUGAGUUCCUAUCAUGAAGGCCUGAAAUCUUGAUCUCAAGUUUUAAAUUUACAUAUGAGCGGGAUCAGGGAUGAGCGGCGGCGACGUAUUUAGAUUCGGCAUCAGAAACCCGUAUCCUUCUGAGUAUGGGUUAUGCAGAUGGGGAACCCUACGAGGCCUCGGCAAGCCUGUGAUUCCAAUUCAGAACACUGAUGGCAGAUCUGCCAUUUUGAAAUCGUGAUUGACAACCUAUACAAAUUGAAUCUCUCGACCUCGGCUAGAACCUCAGUUCAUUAUUCCCCACACAGCCCCCCUCCUCCACUGACUCCUCACCUGAUAUUCUAGUCACACUGAUGUUCGACUUACCAAAAGCAAUCAUAAAAUUUAAGAGAUAAUUGGAGCCAACUAGAAGCUAGCAAUAGGUUUCAAUCCUUUGUGUUGGAUCAAGGAAAAUAAAAGAGUAUGUUCUGAGUUAGAGUAAAGGUUCAAUUGAUAUUAAUUUUUCCUUAAGAUGGACGACAUCAAUUGCUGGAUGCUUCUAUGGAGGUUGUCAACACCAGCAAUGGGAAGGAGAAUAAUUGGUGUAUGAAAGUGCAUACCAAUGGACGUUCCAUUGUUUUCUGCUUCUGAAUUUUGAGUUAUGGUGAUUUCUUGGAUUUCAGUACUGUUUGAUGAAUGUGGAUUUCGUUAAAUACUUGAAUUAACUCAGGACUUGGA